rnacentral:rRNA from 1 species
AGAACGAACGCUGGCGGCAUGCCUAACACAUGCAAGUCGAACGAGACCUUCGGGUCUAGUGGCGCACGGGUGCGUAACGCGUGGGAAUCUGCCCUUGGGUUCGGGAUAACAGUUGGAAACGACUGCUAAUACCGGAUGAUGUCUUCGGACCAAAGAUUUAUCGCCCAAGGAUGAGCCCGCGUAGGAUUAGCUUGUUGGUGAGGUAAGAGCUCACCAAGGCGACGAUCCUUAGCUGGUCUGAGAGGAUGAUCAGCCACACUGGGACUGAGACACGGCCCAGACUCCUACGGGAGGCAGCAGUGGGGAAUAUUGGACAAUGGGCGAAAGCCUGAUCCAGCAAUGCCGCGUGAGUGAUGAAGGCCGUUAAGGGUGUAAAGCUUACGUUUUACCCGGGAUGAUAAUGAACGAGGUACCGGAAGAACUAACGCCCCGACUAACCGUCCGUGACCAACGACGACCG